GCUGGUGUAGCUCAGUCGGCAGAGCGUAUCCUUGGUAAGGAUAAGGUCACCGGUUCAAUUCCUCUCGCCAGCUCCA
rnacentral:tRNA from 1 species